AACGAACGCUGGCGGCAUGCCUAACACAUGCAAGUCGAACGAGACCUUCGGGUCGCGUGGCGCACUGCUGCGUAACGCCGAGGAACCUGCUCUUAUGUUCGGAAUAACUCCCCGAAAGGGGUUCUAAUACCGGAUAAUGUCUUCAUACCAAAUAUUUAUCGCCUUUGGAGGGGCCGGCUUUGGAUACGCUAGUUGGUAGGGUAAAAGCCUACCAAAGCGACGAUCGAUAGCGGGUCAGUGAGGAUGAUCAGCCACACCGGGGCUGAGACACGGCCGAGAAUUUUACGCGAGGGAGGAGUGGGGAAUAUAGGAAUACGGGGGAUAGGAUGAUGGAGCAAUGGUGGGAGAGUGAUGAAGUCAGUAGGGAAGUAAGGCUCGCUUACACGGCAUGAUAAUGACAGUACCGGGAGAAUAAGCACCGGCUAACUCCGUG
rnacentral:rRNA from 1 species